CUGGUUUGUGUUCUUUCUGGAUUUAAAUGGCAUUCAGAAGGUCAAUGAGAAAGUCCACGUUCCACGUUUUCAUAUCAACUUAAGUUAACCAGGUGGUGUAUC